UACAGGGGAUGCAACCGUUGCUCGGAAUCAUUGGGCGUAAAGCGCACGUAGGCGGUUCGUUAUGUCGGAUGUGAAAGCCCUUGGCUUAACCGAGGAAGUGCAUCCGAAACUGGCGAGCUAGAGUACUAAAGAGGAUCGCGGAAUUCCCGGUGUAGAGGUGAAAUUCGUAGAUAUCGGGAGGAACACCGGUGGCGAAGGCGGCGAUCUGGGUAGAUACUGACGCUGAGGUGCGAAAGCGUGGGGAGCAAACAGG
rnacentral:rRNA from 1 species